UCUGCAAUUGACUACUUCUCUGACCUCAUCUGUAAAAGCAACGGUGAUCCCAAAGGCUCGUUCUCAAAACGGUGGAGCAGGUAAGGACUGAGCCCUUCCACGGUGUGCCGCCAUACUUUACAAUAGCCUGUGCUGCUUGCUGCGAAGGAGAGAAGAGAUAAAGAUAAAUUGUUGGUUCAAGGCUGUGCUACUCUUGGAUUUACCAACAGAGAGGACACAUGGACGAUGAUCUUUAAUGAGAACAAUAGAACUGUUUCAGAGGCUGUGAAGGACACCACGAAACCCAGGACAGCAA
rnacentral:lncRNA from 1 species